UACGUAGGGUACAAGCAUUAAUCGGAAUUAUUGGGCGUAAAGGGCGCGUAGGCGGAAAUAUAAGUCAGGUGUGAAAUACCAAAGCUCAACUUUGGUGCUGCAUUUGAAACUGUAUAUCUAGAGGAAUGACGGAGAAAGCGGAAUUCCACGUGUAGCGGUGAAAUGCGUAGAUACGUGGAGGAACACCGGUGGCGAAAGCGGCUUUCUAGUUUUUACCUGACGCUGAGGCGCGAGAGCAAGGGGAGCAAACAGG
rnacentral:rRNA from 1 species